CCUACGGGAGACUGCAGUGAGGAAUAUUGGUCAAUGGACGAGAGUCUGAACCAGCCAAGUAGCGUGAAGGAUGACUGCCCUAUGGGUUGUAAACUUCUUUUAUAUGGGAAUAAAAUGUUCCACGUGUGGGCUUUUGUAUGUACCAUAUGAAUAAGGAUCGGCUAACUCCGUGCCAGCAGCCGCGGUAAUACGGAGGAUCCGAGCGUUAUCCGGAUUUAUUGGGUUUAAAGGGAGCGUAGGUGGAUUGUUAAGUCAGUUGUGAAAGUUUGCGGCUCAACCGUAAAAUUGUAGUUGAAACUGGCAGUCUUGAGUACAGUAGAGGUGGGCGGAAUUCGUGGUGUAGCGGUGAAAUGCUUAGAUAUCACGAAGAACUCCGAUUGCGAAGGCAGCUCACUGGACUGCAACUGACACUGAGGCUCGAAAGUGUGGGUAUCAAACAGGAUUAGAUACCCUUGUAGUC
rnacentral:rRNA from 1 species